rnacentral:SRP_RNA from 2 species
GCUGGGCAUGAUGGUGCAUGCCUGUAAUCCCAGCUACUUGGGAGGCUGAGACAGGAGAAUCGCUUGAACCCAGGGGUCAGAGGUUGCAGUGAGCUGAGAUUGUACCACUGCACUCCAGCCUGGGUGACAGAGUGAGACUCUGUCUCAA